AAAUAGAAUUUCGAUGGGAAGAGCUGAUGAAGUGAAUUGCGGAAACCCUAACCCUAAACCUAACAUUCCGUUCCCCUCUAUUUAUUUUUCCAUCCCGGAUGAAUCAGAGGAAUUCUCUGCGUCGAGGAGCAUAGGAGGGUAGAUUUCGAAGGACUUACCUCAGGAAUCCAAUACUUUUGUUCAUUCACCUUGACAAUAACAUUGCGUGGCCUUGAUUCAUAUACACCAUGGCAUUGAUACAUAUAUGGUUGUCCUAGGAGCACAUCACAUACGUCCAAUGGUGCUACAUCACAAACGACCUCAUCUUUGAAUGACUUGAUGGAAUAUUAUAAACAACAUUGAUUGUUUACUUGAAUAUCCCUUCUUUGACUCACCUAGCCCAUGGAGUAUGGUUGUGGAUGAGGUUUUGUCUUUCAAUUUCUUUAUUGCUCCAACAAAGAUUUGACUUCCACAGUCAACUAUGAAGUGUAAGGCCUUGCCAUUCACCCACAUCUGUGAAUGAAAUAAAUGCUUCUCAUCUUCUCGAUGUAUGAUUUUCA